GAGCUGAUUCAGGAAGCUACGCAGUGUCUCUUCUUCCUCCAGGUGAAAGAGGGGAUCUUGAACGAUGAUAUCUACUGUCCACCUGAGACAGCCGUUCUCCUGGCCUCAUACGCUGUGCAGAUGAAAUACGGUGAAUACAACAAAGAAUAUCACGUGCCUGGAUAUUUGUGCAAAGACAAACUGCUGCCACAAAGAGUUCUAGAGCAACACAAACUGUCUAAAGAGCAGUGGGAAGAACGAAUCCAGGGGUUGCAUAAGCAACACAAAGGCCUGCUCAGGUAGAACAAUCACAACUUCUGAACCUAAAACUAACUGUUAGCGUGCAUGGUCAGUAAAGCUUUAUCUCCACGUAGAGGAUGCUAUGAUAGAACACUUGAAGAUUUCCCAGGAUCUGGAGAUGUAUGGAGUGAACUAUUUCAGCAUCAAAAACAAAAAAGGAUCCGAUUUGCGGUUGGGUGUUGAUGCUUUGGGACUCAACAUUUAUGAACGUUCAGACAACCUGACACCUAAGAUCGGAUUCCCUUGGAGUGAAAUAUGGAAUAUUUCUUUCAACGACAAUAAAUUUGUCAUUAAGCCUAUAGACAAAACGGUCACCGUUAAUUGAAAAUCAUAACUUUAACCAUCAAUUUAUUGAUUUGUUCACAGUCUUUCACCUGCUGAACUACAUGUCCUUUGCUCAUCCACAGGACUUUGUGUUCUAUGCACCUCGUCUGCGCAUUAACAAGCGUAUCCUGGCUCUGUGCAUGGGAAACCAUGACCUUUACAUGCGACGCCGCCAGCCAGACACCACUGAGGUGCAGCAGAUGAAAGCUCAGGCCAGAGAGGAGAAGAAUAAGAGACAACAAGAGAGGUGACAACAUUAAUAACAGAUGUAUCACACAGCACAGACAUAGCAUCCCUAAAGCUAUUUUUUAUGAUACCUGUGGUAAAAUAACUUUUGUGCAGACCCACUAAUGCAGACUCAAUAAUUGUGUAUCUUUUAUGAAAGUGAAUCAUUAACACAAUAGCCCUGUUCUAAAACUUAGUGCGCUACUUAGCUAGACAGCUUUUUAAAGCAUUGUGGGAAUUCUCCUCAAAUCAAGGCUGUUUUCUUAAGUUGGGCAGUAACAUUAGGCUGCCUUUUAAAAAACAUAGUUUUGGCAAAA